GGCUGACUGCCACUGGGGAAGGGUUUCUUUCUGGAGAUCCUUACCUUUGCAGUUUUUCUGAGAGCCUAAGGUACAGAGCUGGUAAUGCCUGUUCCUGAAGGGUUGUGGUUCGGCUUGGGGCAUUGAACAGCAUCUCGAGAGGACAAAUUAAGGAAGAGGCUGCUCUGAGGUUGUACCAGACCUGGAAAGUAAUUAUGCACCAGCUUCUUGGAAAGGAGAUGUAAUACCAGACCUUGCAACCUCACAAUCUGUGAUUAUAUCACCAGCUGGGACACGUGCUGGAGAGGAAUUAGAUGAACUGGAUGAUAACAUUUUUCCAUUCAGAGGGCGUGUGUGACUCUCCUCAAGGAACAGAAUGCCUGAAAUCAAUGGAUUCCAGGGUAGCUCAGCCUAUGAUAGACUCAAAUGUAUAAUUGCAGCUCUUAAAGUGUAAUGAGGCCCAACCGUACAGUGAAGCAUUUCCAAACAUAUGUAUGCGAUAUGGGAAGAAUCAAGUCCAAAGAUUUGUCUGGUCAUAAACUGCAAAAAGUUAUCUGUAAAAUCUGUAAAAUGUAAAAAAUCUAGGGAACUCUCUAACACAAAACUUCAUUUAUUUUUAUUCACACCCACCAUAUUUCUCCUCAGUUUUUUUCUUUUGCUGUUUUGCUUUGUUUUUAAUUAUAUUUAAAAAAAAAAUAAAAAAAAAAAAGAGAGAGAGAGAGAGUCUUGAAUCCUAUUCUUGGAUUCUUGUACAUAAAUCUGGAGUUGUACUGGACUUUCAAUACUAUUAUGUUCAUCAGUUGCACCAUGAGAAGAGAGCUCCCACAUUCACCAAGGGCUUGUGGAAGAAGGAGAGCAGCAAGGAGAAUGCACAACAGGUACUAAGAUGACAGUUGUGAAAAAGCAGGUCACAUUGGAAAAGUGUUGUACAAUGAGUGAUUCAGGGUAACUGACCAUAAUUUCAAUAGCCAGUUCAGCUGAAUAGGGCUAUAUCCACCAACCAUGCUGUAUGUGUAUGAUAGGUGGGUACUGCCCUCUUUUUAUAUCCUGUCUCCUAAGAACACUAUGUAAUAGAAUGUCUCAGCAGUUGGAGACAAGGCCUAGAAGCCAAUUUCUCUGGACUGCCAGACUGGAUUAGGACAGUGUUUUGGAUGGCAUAAGCUCCUUAUGUCAUUGGAGUAUGUGAUGUCAAGGAUAUCUUACAUUUGAAAAUUAAAAUUGAUAUUUUAAAAAAAAAAACAAAAACAAAAAAAAACACUUAUUUCUCAAAAUUUCUUUUAAACUGUGUUCCAACAAUAACUUAUGCUUUCUGGCAGCAGAAAGUAAGAGUCCACAUCAGCAAACCCAAGUGGUUCUAGAAGGACUGCUAUGCAUUAUUAUUAUUUGAAUAAUUAAUUUAAGUUAUUUCUAUUGUUUGAAAAAGUUUUAACUUCAAAUUGACCAGUCUUCGUGACAUUUCACAAGACUGACAAAGCAGUUCUCUGGGAAUCAUGUGGGUUUUUUCACUAAACUUGCAGCUAGUAAUCCCAUAUGGCUGAAAACCCAAGGAAUUGGAGACCAGAUAUUCCAUGAAGAAUGAUUAAGUGGUCCAUAUAAAUCUCAGACUAAGAAUUUUAAGUAAACAAUAAAAAGACAGAAUAAAGAGAAAGGAGGAAACUAUUUUAGUGAAAUACUACAAUUCUAAUAUCUUCCAUUUCUCUAAAAUCAGCACUCCUCAUUUCAGUGGAAGAAUUUUUGCUUGUUAGUUUUUUUUAGCUGGACACAAUAAAAUUACAGGAAAUUUCAUUCAUGCAGAACA